UACGGAGGGUGCAAGCGUUGUCCGGAAUCACUGGGCGUAAAGGGCGCGUAGGCGGCUCAUGAAGGCUGUGGUGAAAGUCCGGGGCUCAACCUCGGAUCGGCCGUGGCGACUCGUGGGCUGGAGCACUGUAGAGGCGGGUGGAAUUCCGGGUGUAGCGGUGGAAUGCGCAGAUAUCAGGAGGAACACCAGUGGCGAAGGCGAGUCCCUGGACAGGUCCUGACGCUGAGGCACGAAAGCUAGGGGAGCAAACAGG
rnacentral:rRNA from 1 species